rnacentral:rRNA from 1 species
GACGAACGCUGGCGGCGUGCUUAACACAUGCAAGUCGAACGAAGUGGCGCACGGGGGAGUAACGCGUAAUAAACAUGCCCUUCAGAGGGGGACAACAGUUGGAAACGACUGCUAAUACCGCAUAACGAAGGAGGGGAUUGUGUCGGAUUAGCUAGGUGGAGGGGGAACGGCCCACCAAGGCGAUGAUCAGUAGCCGGUCUGGGAGGAUGAACGGCCACAUUGGGACUGGUACACGGCCCAGACUCCUACGGGAGGCAGCAGUGGGGAAUCUUCCGCAAUGGACGAAAGUCUGACGGAGCAACGCCGCGUGAGUGAUGACGGCCUUCGGGUUGUAAAGCUCUGUUAAUCGGGACGCGGUACCGGAAUAGAAAGCCACGGCUAACUACGUGCCAGCAGCCGCGGUAAUAC